CGCUCGCCGGAAGACCAAGGGUUCCUGUCCAACGUUAAUCGGGGCAGGGUGAGUCGACCCCUAAGGCGAGGCCGAAAGGCGUAGUCGAUGGGAAACAGGUUAAUAUUCCUGUACUUGGUGUUACUGCGAAGGGGGGACGGAGAAGGCUAUGUUAGCCGGGCGACGGUUGUCCCGGUUUAAGCAUGUAGGCUGAUUGUCCAGGCAAAUCCGGAUAAUCAAGGCUGAGGUGUGAUGACGAGGCACUACGGUGCUGAAGUAACAAAUGCCCUGCUUCCAGGAAAAGCCUCUAAGCAUCAGGUAACAUUAAAUCGUACCCCAAACCGACACAGGUGGUCAGGUAGAGAAUACCAAGGCGCUUGAGAGAACUCGGGUGAAGGAACUAGGCAAAAUGGUGCCGUAACUUCGGGAGAAGGCACGCUGGUGUGUAGGUGAAGUCCCUGCGGAUGGAGCUGAGACCAGUCGAAGAUACCAGCUGGCUGCAACUGUUUAUUAAAAACACAGCACUGUGCAAACACGAAAGUGGACGUAUACGGUGUGACGCCUGCCCGGUGCCGGAAGGUUAAUUGAUGGGGUUAUCCGUAAGGAGAAGCUCUUGAUCGAAGCCCCGGUAAACGGCGGCCGUAACUAUAACGGUCCUAAGGUAGCGAAAUUCCUUGUCGGGUAAGUUCCGACCUGCACGAAUGGCGUAAUGAUGGCCAGGCUGUCUCCACCCGAGACUCAGUGAAAUUGAACUCGCUGUGAAGAUGCAGUGUACCCGCGGCAAGACGGAAAGACCCCGUGAACCUUUACUAUAGCUUGACACUGAACAUUGAGCCUUGAUGUGUAGGAUAGGUGGGAGGCUUUGAAGCGUGGACGCCAGUCUGCGUGGAGCCAACCUUGAAAUACCACCCUUUAAUGUUUGAUGUUCUAACGUUGGCCCCUGACCGGGGUUGCGGACAGUGUCUGGUGGGUAGUUUGACUGGGGCGGUCUCCUCCCAAAGCGUAACGGAGGAGCACGAAGGUUAGCUAAUCCUGGUCGGACAUCAGGAGGUUAGUGCAAUGGCAUAAGCUAGCUUGACUGCGAGCGUGACGGCGCGAGCAGGUGCGAAAGCAGGUCAUAGUGAUCCGGUGGUUCUGAAUGGAAGGGCCAUCGCUCAACGGAUAAAAGGUACUCCGGGGAUAACAGGCUGAUACCGCCCAAGAGUUCAUAUCGACGGCGGUGUUUGGCACCUCGAUGUCGGCUCAUCACAUCCUGGGGCUGAAGUAGGUCCCAAGGGUAUGGCUGUUCGCCAUUUAAAGUGGUACGCGAGCUGGGUUUAGAACGUCGUGAGACAGUUCGGUCCCUAUCUGCCGUGGGCGCUGGAGAAUUGAGGGGGGCUGCUCCUAGUACGAGAGGACCGGAGUGGACGCAUCACUGGUGUUCGGGUUGUCAUGCCAAUGGCACUGCCCGGUAGCUAAAUGCGGAAGAGAUAAGUGCUGAAAGCAUCUAAGCACGAAACUUGCCCCGAGAUGAGUUCUCCCUGAGACUUUAAGUCUCCUGAAGGAACGUUAAAGACGAUGACGUUGAUAGGCCGGGUGUGUAAGCGCAGCGAUGCGUUGAGCUAACCGGUACUAAUGAACCGUGAGGCUUAACCUU
rnacentral:rRNA from 1 species